GACGAACGCUGGCGGCGUGCUUAACACAUGCAAGUCGAACGGAAAGGCCCUGCUUUUGUGGGGUGCUCGAGUGGCGAACGGGUGAGUAACACGUGAGUAACCUGCCCUUGACUUUGGGAUAACUUCAGGAAACUGGGGCUAAUACCGGAUAGGAGCUCCUGCUGCAUGGUGGGGGUUGGAAAGUUUCGGCGGUUGGGGAUGGACUCGCGGCUUAUCAGCUUGUUGGUGGGGUAGUGGCUUACCAAGGCUUUGACGGGUAGCCGGCCUGAGAGGGUGACCGGCCACAUUGGGACUGAGAUACGGCCCAGACUCCUACGGGAGGCAGCAGUGGGGAAUAUUGCACAAUGGGCGGAAGCCUGAUGCAGCAACGCCGCGUGCGGGAUGACGGCCUUCGGGUUGUAAACCGCUUUCGCCUGUGACGAAGCGUGAGUGACGGUAAUGGGUAAAGAAGCACCGGCUAACUACGUGCCAGCAGCCGCGGUGAUACGUAGGGUGCGAGCGUUGUCCGGAUUUAUUGGGCGUAAAGGGCUCGUAGGUGGUUGAUCGCGUCGGAAGUGUAGUCUUGGGGCUUAACCCUGAGCGUGCUUUCGAUACGGGUUGACUUGAGGGAGGUAGGGGAGAAUGGAAUUCCUGGUGGAGCGGUGGAAUGCGCAGAUAUCAGGAGGAACACCAGUGGCGAAGGCGGUUCUCUGGGCCUUUCCUGACGCUGAGGAGCGAAAGCGUGGGGAGCGAACAGGCUUAGAUACCCUGGUAGUCCACGCUGUAAACGGUGGGUACUAGGUGUGGGGUCCAUUCCACGGGUUCCGUGCCGUAGCUAACGCUUUAAGUACCCCGCCUGGGGAGUACGGCCGCAAGGCUAAAACUCAAAGGAAUUGACGGGGCCCCGCACAAGCGGCGGAGCAUGCGGAUUAAUUCGAUGCAACGCGUAGAACCUUACCUGGGUUUGACAUGGAUCGGGAGUGCUCAGAGAUGGGUGUGCCUCUUUUGGGGUCGGUUCACAGGUGGUGCAUGGCUGUCGUCAGCUCGUGUCGUGAGAUGUUGGGUUAAGUCCCGCAACGAGCGCAACCCUUGUUCACUGUUGCCAGCACGUUAUGGUGGGGACUCAGUGGAGACCGCCGGGGUCAACUCGGAGGAAGGUGGGGAUGACGUCAAGUCAUCAUGCCCCUUAUGUCCAGGGCUUCACGCAUGCUACAAUGGCUGGUACAGAGAGUGGCGAGCCUGUGAGGGUGAGCGAAUCUCGGAAAGCCGGUCUCAGUUCGGAUUGGGGUCUGCAACUCGACCUCAUGAAGUCGGAGUCGCUAGUAAUCGCAGAUCAGCAACGCUGCGGUGAAUACGUUCCCGGGGCU
rnacentral:rRNA from 1 species